rnacentral:lncRNA from 1 species
GCCACGUCUUACGGCCCGCUAAUCCCCGAAGGGAAUCGCCCUACCUGCUCUCGGCAGGAAAAUAAUAUAAUCUCACACUGGUCAUGUCCAUUUUGGGAUGAAAUAACAUAUUUAAAAUGUCUCUUUCAAAUAUCAUCAAUAUCAAAUAAUAUAAAUUAGCCCUCAAUUGACUUAAACUCUAGUUUAAUUGAUUCAAUUGAACUCGAUUUACUACAGCCUAACUGAACUGAUCACUAAUCCUUUUUUAACUGGUUUGGAACUACCCUAGACUAGUAUAAUUUAGACUAGAUUAAGUUCAAUUUAGGUUAAACUAACUUGAAUAAGUCAAUCAAUUCGGAAUCACCUUGAAUUGAUCUAGACUAAUCAAGUCUAGUUUAGUUCAAUCAAUAUUUGGGCUCAAGUUUAACAAUAAUAUUGGGCUAGAUUGAUCCAGUUCAUCUACUGGUCAUAUGCAUUAUACAUGAUUGAGCAUGCAUUACACAAAACUGGCACAGCCCUAACCCAUGGACUAGUCAUGUGCGUCGCAUGUGACCACCCAUAAUGGUUGGGCUGGGGUAGCUUACGGGCCAAGGCCUGACCCGUGGGUUGGGCCUGGCCUGUGAGCAAUUUCAUUCCAAUUAAUAUUCAAUUUCAUAUCAUAGCAUAUACCCAUUAACAACAUAAAUAAAAACAUAAUAAUGCAUUAAAAACAUAAUAAUGCAUUAAAAGAUAGAUGAGGAGAAAAGCUUUAAUACAAGGAAAUAACAUUCUAAAUUUGACUAGAAAUCAUAAGACAUUAAAAGAGAGACUAGGUGAUAAGUUUUAAUACAAGGAAAUAGCCUUCUAAAUUCAAAUAAAAAUCAUGUUUUCAAUACAUAUAAAAUUUCAACAUGUUCUAGUCAUAUUUUAAAUCAUUCAGAAUAAUAUAUUUUAAAUUUCAGAUCAAAGAAUAUCAAAAAAGGAUUUUAGAUAACAUAUUCUAGUCUAACAAGAUUUUAAUCUAGACAAGAUUAAAGAUAAACUGUAAUACAAAAAAUAUAUCAUAUAAAACAUAUACCUUUUUAACAUAUUUAAUUCUACAAUAAAAACCUUAAUCAUGGGUCAAAGAAUAUUAUGAAAACUUUAAUUGAUUACUUUAAUACAAAAAUUUUGACAUUUAAAGAAUUGAUACACAUUUUUCAAACUAUAAAACUUUCAACAUUUAAAGAAUCAAAAUAGAAGCUAAAACUUUUAAAUUUAAGAAAGGUAGGGAAACCUACCUCUUGUUAAUAGGGUGUAACUCCUCGUUCUCUUGUAAACAGGGUGUAACUCCUUGUUCCUCCCGCUGCCAGGCUCGACUAGGUGAGGAACGAAGGAGAGAAAUUCCUCCCCUUUAAAUAGGAGAAGGUGAGCCUCUAUUAAGGGAAAUUUAUUUUAAAUUUCGUAUUUAUUUAAUAUAAAUUAUUUCCAUUUAAUAUACUAAUAAAUAUGAUAUCAUCAUAUUUGGAAUACUUAAUAGUUAUUUCCUUAAUUCAUAUCAACAAACAAGGAAGUAGAUUAAGAUUUUCUUAAAUUCUAAUAACAAGUAAGGAAAUAAAAUCAAUUCCUAACUUAAAUAUUUGAUUUGAUUACAUUUCUUCCCUCCUAUAGGAAAUUUGGUCCCCAAAUUUAGCUUACCUUAAUAGAAUAGAUGAGGAUACUGCUCUCGCAUAUCUUCUUCUCUUUCCCACAUUGCCUCUUGGUCUGAAUGGUGUUGCCAAUAAAUCUUUACCAAAGGUAUAAUUUUGUUCCUUAGAAUAUGUUCUUUCCUUUCCAAGAUCUGGGUUGAUUGUUCUCUAAAAGUGGCAUCAUCUUGUAGUUAUAGAGGUUGGUAAGAUAUGACAUGUGAUGGAUCCCUGAUAUAUCUUCGAAGCAUUGACAUGUGGAAUACAUCAUGGAUGCUAGCCAAAGCCGGGGGCAAUGCCAAUCUAUAUGCUAUAGGCCCAACCUUUUGUAAGAUCUCAAAUGGGCCAAUAAAUCUUGGGGCUAACUUUCCCCUUUGACCAAACCUCAUAACUCCCUUGGUUGGCGACACCUUUAAGAAGACGUGCUCACCAACUUCGAACUCUAGAUCUCUUCGCCUUCGAUCUGCAUAACUUUUCUGACGACUUUGAGCUGUUAAUAAUCUUUGGCGUAUAAUUCGAAUAUUAUCAACAUCUUUUUGAAUUAAUUGAGGCCCCAAAAGCUUCCGUUCUCCUACCUUAUCCCAAUAUACAAGUGAUCUGCACUUUCUUCCAUAAAGAGUUUCAAAUGGAGCCAUCUGUAUGCUAGAGUGGUAACUAUUAUUAUAAGAAAACUCAAUUAGAUGUAAGUGCAUAUCCCAACUCCACCAAAGUCUAAAGCACAUGCUCUUAAGAGAUCUUCAAGAGUUUGUAUUGUCCUUUCAGAUUGACCAUCAGUUUGGGGGUGAAAGGCUGUACUAAACUUUAACUGCGUGCCCAAAGAUUUUUGUAGACUUCCCCAAAAUUUGGAGGUGAAUCUUGGAUCUCUAUAUGAGAUAAUGCUAACUGGCACCCCAUGAUAUCGAAUAAUUUCCUUAAUAUAUAAGCUUGCUAGUUUAUCCAAUGAAUACUUAUUGUUAAUAGGAAGGAAGUGAGCAGAUUUAGUAAGUCUGUCUACUAUUACCCAAAUUCCGUCGUAUCCUUUCACUGUCUUAGGUAAUCCUGUCACAAAAUCCAUAGUGACUUGCUCCCACUUCCAUUCAGGAAUCGAAAACCUUUACAACUUUCCCGCAGGUACUCGAUGUUCUAUCUUCACUUGUUGACGUAUUAGACAUUUAGAGACAAACUCUACUAUAUCUCUCUUCAUACCACGCCACCAAUAGUUUUGGCGUAAAUCUCAAUACAUCUUAGUAGUCCCGGGAUGGAUAUUAAAUUUUGAUCUAUGUGCCUCCUCUAAUAAUUGCAUCUUUACUGGAUGGCUUUCGGGAACACAAAGUCGAUUAUGGAAUGUAAUAGAACCAUCUUCGGCUUGGAGGAAUUUAGGUCUAGAUCCUUGAGCUAUUUCCUUAACUAUCAUUUGAAGAUAUGUAUCUUCCUUUUGACCUUCUUUAACCUUUUCCACCAAAAAUGAUUGUGCCAUCAAACACACAAGAAAACCUUUAUUUGUCUCCGAUAAAAGUUUAAGUUUUAAGUCUGCUAACUCCAUUAUCAUAUAAUUCCUUUGAAUAUUCAUAUAGGCUACAAGACUGUAGGUAUUUCUGCUUAAGGCAUCAGCAACUACAUUAGCUUUCCCAGGAUGGUAGUUGAUAUUAAAAUCAUAAUCCUUUAGAAAGUCCAACCACCUUCUUUGUCUCAUAUUUAAAUCUUUCUAUGUGAAAAUAUAUUUGAGACUAUUAUGAUCUGUGAAGAUUUCGAAAGUCUGUCCAUAGAGAUAAUGCCUCCAAAUUUUUAGUGCAAAAAUGAUAGCUGCUAGCUCUAAGUCAUGAGUAGGAUAGUUCUUUUCAUGAGGCUUUAAUUGCCUCGAUGCAUAAGCAACUACCCUCUCAUUUUGCAUUAGAACGCAACCAAGCCCUUGUAGUGAGGCAUCACUAUACACUACAAAAUCUUCUCCCCCUAAAGGAAUCACCAAGAUAGGAGCACUGGUUAAUUUCUUCUUCAAUUCUUGAAAACUUUGUUGACAUUUAUCAUCCCACAUGAAUUUUAUGUUCUUUUGUGUCAACUUGGUCAAUGGUGCUGCUAUUUUUGAAAAGCCUUCUACGAAUCUUCUAUAAUAUCCAGCCAAACCCAAGAAGCUUCUAAUCUCUGAAACAUUAGAAGGCUGCUUCCAUUUUAUCAUAGCUUCAAUCUUGUGAGGGUCAACAGAUAUGCUAGCGCUCGAAAUUAAAUGACCGAGAAACAUAAUUUCAUUGAGCCAGAAGUUGCACUUGCUUAACUUGGCAUAUAGUUUCUCUUGCCUUAGGACUUCCAGAACUGUCUUAAGAUGGUGUUCAUGCUCUGCUAUGCUUUUGGAGUAGAUCAGGAUAUCAUCAAUGAACACAAUUACAAAUUUAUCAAGAUAAGGGUGGAACACCCUAUUCAUGAGGUCCAUGAAGGCAGCUGGUGCAUUUGUGAGUCCAAAAGGCAUUACUAAGAAUUUAUAAUGACCAUAUCUUGUUCUAAAGGCAGUUUUUUGUAUGUCUCCUUCCCUUAUCUUCAGUUGAUGAUACCCGGAUCUCAAAUCAAUCUUUGAGUAUACCUGAGUACCUUGAAGUUGAUCAAAUAGGUCAUCUAUUCGGGGAAGAGGAUAUUUAUUCUUUAUGGUCACUUGGUUGAGUUGUUUAUAAUCGAUGCAUAGUCGCAUAGAUCCAUCUUUUUUCUUCACAAAUAGGACAGGGGUACCCCAAGGUGAUACACUGGGUUGAAUAAAACCUUUGUCCUAAAGCUCUUGGAUCUGUUUCUUUAACUCCUCCAACUCAAUUAGUGCCAUUCUAUACGGAGGUUUAGAAAUAGGUGCAGUACCAGGUAGAAGAUCAAUUGUAAAUUCAAUCUGUCUAUUUGGUGGCAGUGCAAGCAGAUCUUCAAGAAAAACAUCUAGAAAAUCCCACACAAUAGGGAUGUCCUUUAAUACUGGCUUCUUAGAUUCUUCUCUAGAAAUGAAGGCUAAGUAUCCUUGACAUCCCUUCAGUAAUAGUUGGGUAGCACUCAAGGCUGAAAUAAUAGAAGGAAACUUUUCUUGAAUCCCAAUGAACUUAAAAGGUGGUUGAUCUAGAGGUGAGAAAGUAAUAGUCUUCCGAAAACAAUCGACAUUUGCAUGGUAUGCUGAAAGCCAGUCCAUACCCAAGAUAACGUCGAAAUCUUGAAAUUCUAGUAGAAUAAGAUCUACUAGCAAAUCGUGACUUUCAAUAGUAAUAACACAGUUUCUAUAUAUCUGAUCAACUAUCAAAGAGUUUCCAAUCGGUGUUACUACCAUUAAUGCAUUAUUCAUUGUCUCACGAUUCUUAUAUAAUUUCAUAGCAAAAUAGGGUGAUAUAAAAGAAUGUGUAGAACCAGAAUCAAUAAGCACAGAUACUGGCAUACCACAGAGUGUGAUGAUAUCUUUAAUAAUAGAUCCCGAGGCUUCAGCAUCUUGAUGAGUUAGUGCAUAGACUCUUGCCUGUCCUUCCUCUCUGGGUCGUAGCUGUUGUUGUCCAGUUGUUUGGGGUGGAGCUCGGCGUUGAUGUUGCUUCCGUGGGCAAUCCUUCGACAUGUGCCCCGAUUGUUGACAAUAAAAACAUACGCGUUGUCCCAUGGGGCAUGAGGUGGAAACAUGAUCUGUCUUCCCAUAAAAUAACAUCUUAUAACAACUUGAUUGUUAGGAGCUCCUGCUUGUUGAUGCCCAAACUGUUUGCCUUUUCCUUUCUUUGAGGGUCCAGAAUGUGAUCCCCCGUACGUAAAUGGUGUAGCACUAAAAGGUCGCUUUCGAUCCUUUGCUUGUUGUAAUUCAUUAUCCAAUUUCUCUACCACCAAAGCUCGAUUUAACACUUCAGCAUAUGUUGGUAAAAUCAGUACUGCAACAGACUUUCUAAUUGAUGAUUGAAGUCCCCUCUCAAAAUGACGAGCUCUUUGACUUUCAUUAAAAGCAAUAUGUGAAGAGAACUGAGCCAACUCAGUGAAAUGAUGAUCAUAUUCCAUUACAGUUCUAUUUCCUUGGUGGAUGCUAAGGAACUCUUGUUGUUUUUCAAAGCAAACUAAAUCAGGAAAGAACUGCUCAUAAAAUGCAUCUUUAAACUGCUCCCAAGUUACCACAUUACCUCCAGCCUCUAACAUCCUCCUUUUUGAGGUUCAUCAAGUGUCUGCCUUCCCUUCCAAAAUGAAAGAAGCGAAAGGCACUUUCUGAUUUUCCCUACAUUCGAUAGCUUUGAAUGUCUUUUCCACUUGACGAAUCCAACGUUCAACAAAGAUUGGGUCUGGCUUGCCCUAAAAAAUUGGUGGUCCCAAUCUCUUAAAGUGAUCUAAAGUAUUAUUCCUACCCCGUGGAAUUUCAUCUCGUUCCUCUUGACGCUCAAAGUAUCCUCUAAUAGCAUUGAGGACUCUGUGUACGUCAUCUUGAGCAUUGACGGGUGCUGGGGCAUGAGGGGCAUUUUGCGAAGUCGGAGAAGCUGGCCCAUAAUUAGUGACAGGUGUACGGGAGGACUGGGUUUGCUCUACAAUGCAUGGAGCUUCCAAGUUAUUAUUUGUUUGAACACCUCUUCGAGUGCGUAGACCAAUAGCAUUGCGACCAUGAGCACCCCGAGUGAUAGGACCACUAAUUUCAGGAAUUUGCUCCAUUACUCCUAUAAUAGGUUAAAGACAAUCAUCGGUUAGAGUCAAUCAAGGGACCAAAUACACCUACAGGCCCUAGACCAUGCUCCGAUACCAUAAAAGAUGUCACAUCCUGGAUUUUUUUUUUUUAUCUUCCCAUAUAUUUAGGCCAAAUAGAUAAACAUCACUUUAUUCAUCAUUCAUAAAUAUUUAUUACAAUUCAUUUAUUCAUCGAAUCAUAAAUAGAAAAGUAAACAUAGUGAUGUUAACUUCAAGAAUCAUCCAAGUGGCUCUACCUAGCGGUAGAGGAAGGUCUGCUCUCCACUAGAAUCUGAUUUAGUACUAGAGGGAGGCUGCUCUUAAAAAUCAAAAAUAAAGAAAAUUCAGCAACGCUGAGUAGGAACCCCAAAAGUCAACUCAAAAUGUAUACAUGAUCAAAAUUCAAUCAAUCAUCCCAUUGGCGUAUAUCAAAUACCCGAAGGAGCACUCCCCCAACAGCGGAUGGAGAGGCUUUAUCCUACGGGAUGAGUUUGUGUUCUCCCAACAGCGGAUGGAGGCAAACUCAUAUCACACUCCCAACAGCGGAUGGAGUGGCGUCCCACACCCGCCCAAGUGGGGACACGUUCCUCCCAACAGCGGAUGGAGGAACCGUCCAGCCGCCACGUCUUACGGCCCGCUAAUCCCCGAAGGGAAUCGCCCUACCUGCUCUCGGUAGGAAAAUAAUAUAAUCUCACACUGGUCAUGUCCAUUUUGGGAUGAAAUAACAUAUUUAAAACGUCUCUUUCAAAUAUCAUCAAUAUCAAAUAAUAUAAAUUAGCCCUCAAUUGACUUGAACUCUAGUUUAAUCGAUUCAAUUGAACUCGAUUUACUAGAGCCUAACUG